rnacentral:rRNA from 1 species
GAUGAACGCUGGCGGCGUGCCUAAUACAUGCAAGUCGAGCGAACAGACGAGGAUCUUGCUCCUCUUACGUUAGCGGCGGACGGGUGAGUAACACGUGGAUAACCGACCUAUAAGACUGGGAUAACUUCGGGAAACCGGAUCUAAUACCGGAUAAUAUAUUGAACCGCAUGGUUCAAUAGUGAAAGACGGUUUUGCUGUCACUUAUAGAUGGAUCCUCGCCGCAUUAGCUAGUUGGUAAGGUAACGGCCUACCAAGGCAACGAUGCGUAGCCGACCUGAGAGGGUGAUCAGCCACACUGGAACUGAGACACGGUCCAGACUCCUACGGGAGGCAGCAGUAGGGAAUCUUCCGCAAUGGGCGAAAGCCUGACGGAGCAACGCCGCGUGAGUGAUGAAGGUCUUCGGAUCGUAAAACUCUGUUAUUAGGGAAGAACAAAUGUGUAAGUAAAUAUGCACGUCUUGACGGUACCAAAUCAGAAAGCAACGGCUAACUACGUG